GACGAACGCUGGCGGCGUGCUUAACACAUGCAAGUCGAACGGAAAGGCCCUGCUUUUGUGGGGUGCUCGAGUGGCGAACGGGUGAGUAACACGUGAGUAACCUGCCCUUGACUUUGGGAUAACUUCAGGAAACUGGGGCUAAUACCGGAUAGGAGCUCCUGCUGCAUGGUGGGGGUUGGAAAGUUUCGGCGGUUGGGGAUGGACUCGCGGCUUAUCAGCUUGUUGGUGGGGUAGUGGCUUACCAAGGCUUUGACGGGUAGCCGGCCUGAGAGGGUGACCGGCCACAUUGGGACUGAGAUACGGCCCAGACUCCUACGGGAGGCAACAGUGGGGAAUAUUGCACAAUGGGCGGAAGCCUGAUGCAGCAACGCCGCGUGCGGGAUGACGGCCUUCGGGUUGUAAACCGCUUUCGCAUGUGACGAAGCGUGAGUGACGGUAAUGGGUAAAGAAGCACCGGCUAACUACGUG
rnacentral:rRNA from 1 species